UUAGCUCAGUUGGCCAGAGCACGUGAUUUGUAAUCUCGGGGUCGUUGGUUCGAAUCCGACA
rnacentral:tRNA from 1 species